UACAGAGGUCCCAAGCGUUGUUCGGAUUCACUGGGCGUAAAGGGUGCGUAGGCGGUCGGGUAAGUCUGAUGUGAAAUCUCACAGCUUAACUGUGAAACUGCAUUGGAUACUAUCCGGCUUGAGGAAUGGAGGGGAGACUGGAAUACUUGGUGUAGCAGUGAAAUGCGCAGAUAUCAGGAGGAACACCGGUGGCGAAGGCGGGUCUCUGGGCAGUAACUGACGCUGAGGAGCGAAAGCGUGGGGAGCGAACAGG
rnacentral:rRNA from 1 species